rnacentral:rRNA from 1 species
GAACUCGGCAAAUUGGUACCGUAACUUCGGGAUAAGGUACGCCCCUGUAGCCUGACUGGCCUGCGCCAGAAGGGUGAAGGGGUUGCAAUAAACUGGUGGCUGCGACUGUUUAAUAAAAACACAGCACUCUGCAAACACGAAAGUGGACGUAUAGGGUGUGACGCCUGCCCGGUGCCGGAAGAUUAAAUGAUGGGGUGCAAGCUCUUGAUUGAAGUCCCGGUAAACGGCGGCCGUAACAAUAACGGUCCUAAGGUAGCGAAAUUCCUUGUCGGGUAAGUUCCGACCUGCACGAAUGGCGUAACGAUGGCCACACUGUCUCCUCCCGAGACUCAGCGAAGUUGAAGUGUUUGUGAUGAUGCAAUCUCCCCGCGGCUAGACGGAAAGACCCCAUGAACCUUUACUGUAGCUUUGCAUUGGACUUUGAACCGGUCUGUGUAGGAUAGGUGGGAGGCUUUGAAGCGUGGACGCCAGUCUGCGUGGAGCCAACCUUGAAAUACCACCCUGGUUUGUUUGAGGUUCUAACCUUGGUCCGUAAUCCGGAUCGGGGACAGUGCAUGGUAGGCAGUUUGACUGGGGCGGUCUCCUCCCAAAGUGUAACGGAGGAGUACGAAGGUACGCUAGGUACGGUCGGAAAUCGUGCUGAUAGUGCAAUGGCAUAAGCGUGCUUAACUGCGAGACCGACAAGUCGAGCAGGUGCGAAAGCAGGUCAUAGUGAUCCGGUGGUUCUGUAUGGAAGGGCCAUCGCUCAACGGAUAAAAGGUACUCUGGGGAUAACAGGCUGAUACCGCCCAAGAGUUCAUAUCGACGGCGGUGUUUGGCACCUCGAUGUCGGCUCAUCUCAUCCUGGGGCUGUAGCCGGUCCCAAGGGUAUGGCUGUUCGCCAUUUAAAGAGGUACGUGAGCUGGGUUUAAAACGUCGUGAGACAGUUUGGUCCCUAUCUGCCGUGGGCGCUGGAUAUUUGAAGGGGGCUGCUCCUAGUACGAGAGGACCGGAGUGGACGAACCUCUGGUGUACCGGUUGUCACGCCAGUGGCAUCGCCGGGUAGCUAUGUUCGGAAGAGAUAACCGCUGAAAGCAUCUAAGCGGGAAACUCGCCUUAAGAUGAGAUAUCCCCGGGGCUUCGAGCCCCUUGAAGGGUCGUUCGAGACCAGGACGUUGAUAGGUCAGGUGUGGAAGCGCAGUAAUGCGUUAAGCUAACUGAUACUAAUUGCCCGUAAGGCUCG